rnacentral:rRNA from 1 species
GACGAACGCUGGCGGCGUGCUUAACACAUGCAAGUCGAACGGAAAGGCCCUGCUUGCAGGGUGCUCGAGUGGCGAACGGGUGAGUAACACGUGGGUGAUCUGCCCCUUACUUUGGGAUAAGCCUGGGAAAUUGGGUCUAAUACUGGAUAUGACCAUGCUGUAGGAGGUGUGGUGGAAAGAUUAGUUUCGGUAAGGGAUGAGCUCGCGGCCUAUCAGCUUGUUGGUGGGGUAAUGGCCUACCAAGGCGUCGACGGGUAGCCGGCCUGAGAGGGUGGACGGCCACAUUGGGACUGAGAUACGGCCCAGACUCCUACGGGAGGCAGCAGUGGGGAAUAUUGCACAAUGGGCGCAAGCCUGAUGCAGCGACGCCGCGUGGGGGAUGACGGCCUUCGGGUUGUAAACUCCUUUCAGCCAUGACGAAGCCCUUGUGGUGACGGUAGUGGUAGAAGAAGCACCGGCUAACUACGUG